ACUUAUUUUUCUGGUCCUAAGGGUUGCACCCAGGACCUUACAGUAGGCAAGGGCUCUACCUAUGAGCUGCAAGCCCAGCCCAUCAGUCAUUCAUUAUUUAAAGUCUAUUUAUCCUCGUAUUCAAAUCCUUGCGUUGUCACUGCUUUUCCCAGCAUUCCUUGUACUUUUAUUUUUACAAAUAAAGUACUAGGAAAUAGUUUUCUCCCAGCCAAGUGGUGGAAAGUGGCCAAGUCUACACUGGAGCCCAGUUCUUCUAUGUUUCGAGCUUUAGUUUAUCUGCAUUAACUGUCUCCCUUGACGGCCACUAAUCAGUGUGUGAAACUAGAAGAGCUCUUAAAUGUUCUGUGUUUCAGCUCUUCCUUUAAAAAUAGCCGGAUUGCGCACAACUCACAAAUUGGAGAACAGGAUGUUUAUUUAUGUGUGCAUGUAUUUAUGUGUGUGUAUUUGUUUCUUUAAGGAAAAUCCUGGAGCAGAGACAAAUGAGAAUGGCUAGAAGAGCUUUCCUGUGUGUCUCUCUGUCUUCAUCUAUCUCUGCCUCUGCUCCCAUGAUGCUAGGUGUUGGCUUUUCAGUGUCUCAAGAGCACUCUAUUGGUGCUUCUUGGUCAACUUCCUUAGGAAUUCCAUCAUCCCAGCGAUGCCAUCACCAAGAUGUCUUCUGCUGCCACAGCAAAGAAAUCUGCUUAAUUAAGUUCUGUUGUGACUGAAGAGGAUCCCGUCAUCGAUGUGAAUUUUCUAAAAUUUAGCAAGUCUUGUUUUACGGAUCAUGACUACAUUGUACAACAAUGAAUAUUGUUUUAUCUUGCCCUUCCCUCGUGUCUAAAGAUGUUGGAUGCUUACAAUGAUAUUUCUCAGUCAUUUACAUUUCAUUGUUUAGAACUUUUUGCUUCAUUCUGUUCCCUAAUAUUUAAUUGGGUUCUUCUCUCAGUGUUGGAUGUUUAUUGAGUCCUUUGUGUAUUUUAGAUAUUCACCCUCGAUCUGAUAUACAACUGAUAAAGAUUUUUUUUAUUGUGUAGUCUUCGUAUUGGUAGUGUGCUUUGCUGAAUGAAGUAUUUCAGUUUCCAGAUGUUAAUUUUUGUUCUUAAUGACUGUGCUGUUCAGAAAAUCCUUUCUAAAUUAAAGCAUAUUUCCUAGUUUCCUCUCUACCGGGUUAGGCUCUCGGGUUCUACGUUGAGAUCCUUUAUCCAUUUGGAGUUGAAUUUUGUCCAAGGUGACAGAUAAUGAUCAAGUUUCACUCUUCUACAUGGAGCCAUCCAGCUUGGCCUGCGCUAUCUGACGAAAAUGGUGUCUUUUUUCUGAUAUGUAUCUUUGUCCUCUUUGUCAAAAAUCAGGUAGCUAGAGGAGCAUGGGCCAUGUGGGCUCUAAAUUCUGUUGCAUUGAUGAAUGACUCUGUUUGUAUGUUGGCAUCACUGUGUUUUUAUCACUAUACCUCUGAGAGGAUAACU